rnacentral:tRNA from 1 species
UGCAUCGACCGGGAAUCGAACCCGGGCCGCCAGCGUGGCAGGCGAGCAUUCUACCACUGAACCACCGAUGC